rnacentral:sRNA from 1 species
GCUGGGCAUGGUGGCACAUGCCUGUAAUCCCAGCAGCUCAGGAGGCUGAGACAGGAGGAUCAUGAGUUCAAAGCCAGCCUCAGCAAUGGCAAGGUGCUAAGCAACUCAUCGAGACCAAGACUCUGUCUCAA